rnacentral:rRNA from 1 species
AGGGGGGGGGGGGGGCCUAUACAUGCAGUCGAGCGAAAGAAGAGGAGCUUGCUCCUCUGACGUUAGCGGCGGACGGGUGAGUAACACGUGGAUAACCUACCUAUAAGACUGGGAUAACUUCGGGAAACCGGAGCUAAUACCGGAUAAUAUAUUGAACCGCAUGGUUCAAUAGUGAAAGACGGUUUUGCUGUCACUUAUAGAUGGAUCCGCGCCGCAUUAGCUAGUUGGUAAGGUAACGGCUUACCAAGGCAACGAUGCGUAGCCGACCUGAGAGGGUGAUCGGCCACACUGGAACUGAGACACGGUCCAGACUCCUACGGGAGGCAGCAGUAGGGAAUCUUCCGCAAUGGGCGAAAGCCUGACGGAGCAACGCCGCGUGAGUGAUGAAGGUCUUCGGAUCGUAAAACUCUGUUAUUAGGGAAGAACAAAUGUGUAAGUAACUAUGCACGUCUUGACGGAACCUAAUCAAAAAGCCACGGC